GUGUGUGAUGUAUAUACGACUAUGAACAACUCGUCAGAGUGCUAUCUUUGAUGAUCACAUACAUUUUGCUUCCUCACUGACAA